rnacentral:rRNA from 1 species
UACGGAGGGUGCAAGCGUUGUUCGGAAUCACUGGGCGUAAAGCGCGUGUAGGCGGCCUCCUCAGUCUGGUGUGAAAGCCCGGGGCUCAACCCCGGAAGUGCAUUGGAUACUGGGAGGCUGGAGUACCGGAGAGGAGGGUGGAAUUCCUGGUGUAGCGGUGAAAUGCGUAGAUAUCAGGAGGAACACCGGUGGCGAAGGCGGCCCUCUGGACGGAUACUGACGCUGAGAAGCGAAAGCGUGGGGAGCAAACAGG